AUAAGUCGGGGUUUGUUGCACGUA
rnacentral:siRNA from 1 species